AUCAAAUAUCGAGGAAUAAGUGAUUCUUUUCCGAGGAAAAGAAUUGAAAAGGGAAGUCAGUUAAGCUGACGCGGUGCCCGCCACUGUAAAAGGGAGUCUACUUACAAAAUGUCACUGGGGAUCUAUUCCCGGGAAGACGUGAGUUGAUGAAGAUCUUUAGCCAGGAGACCUGCUUAUUCCGAAGUCAAAACU
rnacentral:ncRNA from 15 species